AAUGAACGCUGGCGGCAUGCCUAACACAUGCAAGUCGAACGAAGGCUUCGGCCUUAGUGGCGCACGGGUGCGUAACGCGUGGGAAUCUGCCCUCAGGUUCGGAAUAACAGCGAGAAAUUGCUGCUAAUACCGGAUGAUAUCGCGAGAUCAAAGAUUUAUCGCCUGAGGAUGAGCCCGCGUAUGAUUAGCUAGUUGGUGUGGUAAAGGCGCACCAAGGCGACGAUCCUUAGCUGGUCUGAGAGGAUGAUCAGCCACACUGGGACUGAGACACGGCCCAGACUCCUACGGGAGGCAGCAGUGGGGAAUAUUGGACAAUGGGCGAAAGCCUGAUCCAGCAAUGCCGCGUGAGUGAUGAAGGCCUUAGGGUUGUAAAGCUCUUUUACCCGGGAUGAUAAUGACAGUACCGGGAGAAUAAGCUCCGGCUAACUCCAUGCCAGCAGCCGCCGUAA
rnacentral:rRNA from 1 species